rnacentral:lncRNA from 1 species
AGGAGGUUAACUGAGCUGCCAUUGUCCACCAUGACUCUGUAAAUGAUGGCAUUGGCCAGUUGUACAGAAAUCACCAGGGCGUCGUUAUGGGGAAUGUCUACUCCCUCAGCGUCUUGCUCAGUGAAGCCGACGAUUGGUCCAUGUACAUCAUCUAUGGCUUAAACCUGAUUGACCGAUUUCGCCUGCUGGAUCUUCCUCUU